AACGAACGCUGGCGGCAGGCUUAACACAUGCAAGUCGAACGCGUGCAGCAAUGCACGAGUGGCGCACGGGUGAGUAACGCGUGGAUAUCUGCCUUUUGGUUCGGAAUAACCCCGGGAAACUGGGGCUAAUACCGGAUGGUUCCUUCGGGAUAAAGAUUUAUCGCCAAAAGAUGAGUCCGCGUACGAUUAGCUAGUUGGUGAGGUAAUGGCUCACCAAGGCGACGAUCGUUAGCUGGUCUGAGAGGACGAUCAGCCACACUGGGACUGAGACACGGCCCAGACUCCUACGGGAGGCAGCAGUGGGGAAUAUUGGACAAUGGGGGCAACCCUGAUCCUGCCAUGCCGCGUGAGUGAUGAAGGCCUUCGGGUUGUAAAGCUCUUUUGGCGGGGACGAUGGUGACGGUACCCGCAGAAUAAGCCCCGGCUAACUUCGUGCCAGCCGCCGCGGUAA
rnacentral:rRNA from 1 species